UACGAAGGGAGCUGGCGUUGUUCGGAAUCACUGGGCGUAAAGCGCACGUAGGCGGAUGUGUCAGUCAGGGGUGAAAUCCCGGAGCUCAACUUCGGAACUGCCUUUGAUACAGCACGUCUUGAGUCCGGAAGAGGUGGGUGGAAUUCCUAGUGUAGAGGUGAAAUUCGUAGAUAUUAGGAAGAACACCGGUGGCGAAGGCGGCCCACUGGUCCGGUACUGACGCUGAGGUGCGAAAGCGUGGGGAGCAAACAGG
rnacentral:rRNA from 1 species